rnacentral:rRNA from 1 species
UACAGAGGUCUCAAGCGUUGUUCGGAUUCAUUGGGCGUAAAGGGUGCGUAGGCGGCGCGGUAAGUCGGGUGUGAAAUCUUGGAGCUUAACUCCGAAACUGCAUUCGAUACUGCCGUGCUUGAGGACUGGAGAGGAGACUGGAAUUUACGGUGUAGCGGUGAAAUGCGUAGAUAUCGUAAGGAAGACCAGGUGGCGAAGGCGGGUCUCGUGGACAGUUCCUGACGCUGAGGCACGAAGGCCAGGGGAGCAAACGGGG